rnacentral:lncRNA from 12 species
UGGCAAACUAUUUUACACCUUACAGAGCCCCAGCCAUGAAACAAGCCCACAUGAAUGCCAUUUUCAGGGUUUCUAAGCAAAAUAAAAUAAAGUGAAAUAUAAUCAAGUUUGUGAGA